rnacentral:rRNA from 1 species
UACGGAGGGUGCAAGCGUUAUCCGGAUUUACUGGGUUUAAAGGGUGCGUAGGUGGGUCUGUAAGUCAGUGGUGAAAUCUUCAAGCUUAACUUGGAAACUGCCAUUGAUACUAUAGGUCUUGAAUUAUCUGGAGGUGAGCGGAAUAUGUCAUGUAGCGGUGAAAUGCUUAGAUAUGACAUAGAACACCAAUUGCGAAGGCAGCUCACUACGGAUGUAUUGACACUGAGGCACGAAGCG